UGAAGCUGGGCCGCUCCCCGCGGGAGAACCAACACCUCGCGGGAGGCAAAAAACCCAGCGACCGUUGGCAGCGCGCGCCGACUGAGUCCGUGCACCUGCGCGACGACCGCCUGGAAGAUUCUGGAAAGUACAGUGCGAGGUCAUAACGGCGUGGAGGACGACAGGUACCAUGGUGGAGCUCUCGCUGGACGACAGCAUGGUGGAAGGCCUUAUUGAGAAGGUCAGUUGGAGGAAGAGGUCCUACUUGCAUCUGGUGGAAGCAUGCUGUCAAGACAACUGGGAGCAAAAACCAAGAAGUCCACAUUAGCUGCUUUUAAUGGAAUGGUGAUAUGGUCAUGUCAUUGUUUCUGCGUCCAAAGUGUUGGUUUAAUUUAAUUUCUGGGAUCAAUUUGAAUAUUCAUGUAAAGUGGAGAAGAUAAUCGCUGAGACAGAAGACAAGUAUCAACAGAUGGCACUCAAAGUGGUCUAUACGAUCCUGUCCAUCUAGGUCGUGGGUGAAGGAGCCAGCCUGGAACAGCAUCAAGAGCGCUUAGGGAUUCUGAAGAACCUUUCUGAAGAUGUGACGGACCCUGAAAAACAAAUCCAGUUUCAGAAGUGUCAUCAGAUCACAGAGCUGACUUGCCAGAACCUGCUGCGUGGUCAUUUGAACAACCUGCUGCUCAUGGUGUGUGGCAGCUUGUCUGACCAACAACUUAGCUGUACCUUGUUGGCUUCCUUGCCGUUAGAAGACCUCUUCCUACGACAGAGAUGAAAA